rnacentral:rRNA from 1 species
UGGGGAAUAUUGCACAAUGGGGGAAACCCUGAUGCAGCCAUGCCGCGUGUGUGAAGAAGCCUUCGGGUUGUAAAGCACUUUUCAGCGAGGAGGAAAGGUUGUUGGCUAAUACCCAGCAACUGUGACGUUACUCGCAAAAGAAGCACCCGGCUAACUCCGUGC